ACUCCUACGGGAGGCAGCAGUGGGGAAUUUUGGACAAUGGGGGAGACCCUGAUCCAGCAAUGCCGCGUGAGUGAAGAAGGCCUCCGGGUUGUAAAGCUCUUUUGUCAGGGAAGAAACACCGGCUCUAACACAGUCCGGGAAUGACGGUACCUGAAGAAUAAGCACCGGCUAACUACGUGCCAGCAGCCGCGGUAAUAC
rnacentral:rRNA from 1 species